CCGAAACGACACCGUUUUACUGUUUCCAGUUAUCUUCCCUCCUUCACAGUUUCACUCCAACCUGCAAACUGGAAUUCCUCCCCACUGUACGACGCCGUUUUGCUGCAGUUAUCUUCUCUUUUACAUACUGAAAUCCAUUCCAGUUAUUAAAGCUGAAACAGAGCCGAACACAAAACAGUGAUAACAGAGCAGAGUAAUCCUUCCCAGCAUAGCAUAUGGGUAGUAACGAAACAACCGGGUCGGGCCAGCAGGCCGGGCCGAGCGGAGGAGAAGCGGGUCCCAGCAGUAGCAGCAACCCGAGCGCAGCACGCCGUUUCCCACUGGCGGCUCAGCCGGAGGUCAUGAGAGCCGCCGAAAAGGACGACCAGUACGCCUCCUUCGUCUACGACGCCUUCCGC
rnacentral:lncRNA from 1 species